GGGCGAGUGGUGGAAUGGCAGACACGCACGGCUCAAAACCGUGUGCCGCAAGGCAUGUGGGUUCGACUCCCGCCUCGCCCA
rfam:Candidatus Sungbacteria bacterium RIFCSPHIGHO2_02_FTLL_51_29 rifcsphigho2_02_scaffold_36492, whole genome shotgun sequence.